rnacentral:rRNA from 1 species
AAACCAACAGGGAUUGCCUCAGUAACGGCGAGUGAAGUGGCAACAGCUCAAAUUUGAAAUCUGGCUCUCGGGCCCGAGUUGUAAUUUGUAGAGGAUGACUUUGAUGCGGUGCCUUCCGAGUUCCCUGGAACGGGACGCCAUAGAGGGUGAGAGCCCCGUCUGGUUGGAUGCCAAAUCUCUGUAAGUCUCCUUCGACGAGUCGAGUAGUUUGGGAAUGCUGCUCUAAAUGGGAGGUAUAUGUCUUCUAAAGCUAAAUACCGGCCAGAGACCGAUAGCGCACAAGUAGAGUGAUCGAAAGAUGAAAAGCACUUUGAAAAGAGAGUUAAAAAGUACGUGAAAUUGUUGAAAGGGAAGCGUUUAUGACCAGACUUGGGCUUGGUUAAUCAUCUGGGGUUCUCCCCAGUGCACUUUUCCAGCCCAGGCCAGCAUCAGUUUUCGCCGGGGGAUAAAGACUUCGGGAAUGUGGCUCCCCUCGGGGAGUGUUAUAGCCCGUUGUGUAAUACCCUGGCGGGGACUGAGGUUCGCGCUUCUGCAAGGAUGCUGGCGUAAUGGUCAUCAACGAC